GAUGAACGCUGGCGGCGUGCUUAACACAUGCAAGUCGAACGGAAAGGCUCCUGCUUGCAGGGGUCCUCGAGUUGCGAACGGGUGAUUAACACUUGGUUGAUCUUCCCUGCACUUCGGGAUAAUCCUGGUUAACUGGGUCUAAUACCUGAUAGGACGAUGGUUUUUAUGCCAUUGUGGACAGUUUUUCGGUGUGGGAUGAGCUCGCUGCCUAUCAUCUUGUUGUUGGGGUAAUGGCCUACCAAGGCGUCGACGGGUAGCCGGCCUGAGAGGGCGUACGGUCAAAUUGGGACUGAGAUACGGCACAGACUAGUAAGGGAGGCAGCAGAGGGGAAUAUUGAACAAUGGAGGCAAGCCGGAUGCAGCGACGCCGCGUGAGGGAUGACGGACUUCGGGUUGUAAACUCCUUUCGUCAGGAACGAAGCGAAAGUGACGGUACCUGGAUAAGAAGCACCGGCUAACUACGUG
rnacentral:rRNA from 1 species